UACGGAGGGUGCAAGCGUUAUCCGGAUUCACUGGGUUUAAAGGGUGCGUAGGCGGGCAGGUAAGUCCGUGGUGAAAUCCCCGAGCUUAACUCGGGAACUGCCAUGGAUACUAUUUGUCUUGAAUAUUGUGGAGGUAAGCGGAAUAUGUCAUGUAGCGGUGAAAUGCUUAGAUAUGACAUAGAACACCAAUUGCGAAGGCAGCUUACUAAACAGUUAUUGACGCUGAGGCCCGAAAGCGUGGGGAUCAAACAGG
rnacentral:rRNA from 1 species